rnacentral:rRNA from 1 species
CUUAACACAUGCAAGUCGAGGGGCAUCAGGAAGAAAGCUUGCUUUCUUUGCUGGCGACCGGCGCACGGGUGAGUAACACGUAUCCAGCCUGCCCUUUACUCGGGGAUAGCCUUUCGAAAGAAAGAUUAAUACCCGAUAGCAUAAUGAUUCCGCAUGGUUUCAUUAUUAAAGGAUUCCGGUAAAGGAUGGGGAUGCGUUCCAUUAGGUUGUUGGUGAGGUAACGGCCCACCAAGCCUUCGAUGGAUAGGGGUUCUGAGAGGAAGGUCCCCCACAUUGGAACUGAGACACGGUCCAAACUCCUACGGGAGGCAGCAGUGAGGAAUAUUGGUCAAUGGGCGCUAGCCUGAACCAGCCAAGUAGCGUGAAGGAUGAAGGCUCUAUGGGUCGUAAACUUCUUUUAUAUAAGAAUAAAGUGCAGUAUGUAUACUGUUUUGUAUGUAUUAUAUGAAUAAGGAUCGGCUAACUCCGUGCCAGCAGCCGCGGUAAUACGGAGGAUCCGAGCGUUAUCCGGAUUUAUUGGGUUUAAAGGGAGCGUAGGUGGACUGGUAAGUCAGUUGUGAAAGUUUGCGGCUCAACCGUAAAAUUGCAGUUGAUACUGUCAGUCUUGAGUACAGUAGAGGUGGGCGGAAUUCGUGGUGUAGCGGUGAAAUGCUUAGAUAUCACGAAGAACUCCGAUUGCGAAGGCAGCUCACUGGACUGCAACUGACACUGAUGCUCGAAAGCGUGGGUAUCAAACAGGAUUAGAUACCCUGGUAGUCCACACAGUAAACGAUGAAUACUCGCUGUUUGCGAUAUACAGUAAGCGGCCAAGCGAAAGCAUUAAGUAUUCCACCUGGGGAGUACGCCGGCAACGGUGAAACUCAAAGGAAUUGACGGGGGCCCGCACAAGCGGAGGAACAUGUGGUUUAAUUCGAUGAUACGCGAGGAACCUUACCCGGGCUUAAAUUGCAGUGGAAUGAUGUGGAAACAUGUCAGUGAGCAAUCACCGCUGUGAAGGUGCUGCAUGGUUGUCGUCAGCUCGUGCCGUGAGGUGUCGGCUUAAGUGCCAUAACGAGCGCAACCCUUAUCUUUAGUUACUAACAGGUUAUGCUGAGGACUCUAGAGAGACUGCCGUCGUAAGAUGUGAGGAAGGUGGGGACGACGUCAAAUCAGCACGGCCCUUACGUCCGGGGCUACACACGUGUUACAAUGGGGGGUACAGAAGGCAGCUAGCGGGUGACCGUAUGCUAAUCCCAAAAUCCUCUCUCAGUUCGGAUCGAAGUCUGCAACCCGACUUCGUGAAGCUGGAUUCGCUAGUAAUCGCGCAUCAGCCACGGCGCGGUGAAUACGUUCCCGGGCCUUGUACACACCGCCCGUCAAGCCAUGGGAGCCGGGGGUACCUGAAGUACGUAACCGCAAGGAUCGUCCUAGGGUAAAACUGGUGACUGGGGCUAAGUCAUA